AUUGAACGCUGGCGGCAUGCCUUACACAUGCAAGUCGAACGGUAACGGGCCUUCGGGUGCCGACGAGUGGCGAACGGGUGAGUAAUGCAUCGGAACGUACCUUUCAGUGGGGGAUAACGUAGCGAAAGUUACGCUAAUACCGCAUAUUCUGUGCGCAGGAAAGCAGGGGAUCGCAAGACCUUGCGCUGAUGGAGCGGCCGAUGUCAGAUUAGCCAGUUGGUGAGGUAAAGGCUCACCAAGGCGACGAUCUGUAGCGGGUCUGAGAGGAUGAUCCGCCACACUGGAACUGAGACACGGUCCAGACUCCUACGGGAGGCAGCAGUGGGGAAUUUUGGACAAUGGGGGCAACCCUGAUCCAGCCAUGCCGCGUGAGUGAAGAAGGCCUUCGGGUUGUAAAGCUCUUUCGGCCGGGAAGAAAUCGCAUGGGUUAAUACCCUGUGCGGAUGACGGUACCGGCAUAAGAAGCACCGGCUAACUACGUGCCAGCCGCCGCCGUAA
rnacentral:rRNA from 1 species